AGAGUUUGAUCAUGGCUCAGGAUGAACGCUAGCGGCAGGCUUAACACAUGCAAGUCGAGGGGCAUCACGGGUAGCAAUACCUGGUGGCGACCGGCGGAAGGGUGCGUAACGCGUGAGCAACAUGCCCUAUACAGGGGGAUAAUCCAGGGAAACUUGGUCUAAUACCCCAUUGGAUUUAUUGGUGGCAUCAUUGAUAAAUUAAAGCUUCGGUGGUAUAGGAUUGGCUCGCGUGACAUUAGUUUGAUGGUGAGGUAACGGCUCACCAUGGCGAUGAUGUCUAGGGGUUCUGAGAGGAAGGCCCCCCACACUGGGACUGAGACACGGCCCAGACUCCUACGGGAGGCAGCAGUGAGGGAUAUUGGACAAUGGAUGGAAAUCUGAUCCAGCCAUGCCGCGUGCAGGAAGACGGCCCUAUGGGUUGUAAACUGCUUUUAUACGGGAGCAAUAAGGUCUACGCGUAGACUGAUGAGAGUACCGUAUGAAUAAGCAUCGGCUAACUCCGUGCCAGCAGCCGCGGUAAUACGGAGGAUGCGAGUGUUAUCCGGAUUUAUUGGGUUUAAAGGGUGCGUAGGCGGCUUUGUAAGUCAGCGGUGAAAUUUUGCAGCUCAACUGUAAAAGUGCCAUCGAUACUGGUUUUCUUGAGUGUGGAUGAAGUAGGCGGAAUUUGUGGUGUAGCGGUGAAAUGCAUAGAUAUCACGAGGAACUCCGAUUGCGCAGGCAGCUUACUAGGCCAUAACUGACGCUCAGGCACGAAGGCGUGGGGGAUCAAACAGGAUUAGAUACCCUGGUAGUCCACGCAGUAAACGAUGAUUACUCGCUGUUUGCGAUACACAGUAAGCGGCUUAGCGAAAGCGUUAAGUAAUCCACCUGGGGAGUACGUUCGCAGGAAUGAAACUUAAAUGAAUUGACGG
rnacentral:rRNA from 1 species